UUCUUGACUCUGUCAAGUCUUUCCAAUUUUUCUUUUCCAAGAUGAUAUAAUAAUCAAAGUUGCAACAUGUAAAUUGUAGUUUUGUGUGGAAAAAAUUUCCUAAAAAAUAAUUGCCAUGGAAAUUUCAUGAGUUCUUCCCUCUUGUUUUAUAUUUCUUUUAACAAUGCAUUUGAAAUUUUCACCCUAUAAUAUGAUUUAAUUGUAUAUGUCAAUUGUCAAGCUUUGAAAAUUUUGCUACUUUUUACAAUCACAACACACAUGGAUUGCCCUAUAAAUAGUAGCCUAAAAUGGAGAUUAUGCUGCACUCAUCCUAUAAAUUUUAUCUAAUAUAUAUUGUCCAAAAUGAAAGCAAUAUUUCUCAUAUUAUGCAUUCUCUUGGCUUCCAUUCUUGCGUUUCCCACUUCCACAAUGGCUCGAGAACUGGCUGAGAAGGAGGCAAUCCCAUCUCCAACUCAAUGUGCGCUAGAUCCUACUCGGAGCUGUACUCCGAAGACUCCUCCUAACUGCCCAAUUUACAGUCGAAACUGCCAUUAAUAUUAUGUUCUGGAAUAUUAUGUUUAAUAAAUUUGCCAACUUUUGUGUUUUAUUGGCAAAGGAAAUUAGAAUCUAAAGUUUCAUGCAUGGUUUGUGUUUGAUUGAUGUGAUUGUGAUGUUAUUUCUACUGCUUGAGAUAACAAAAUAAUAAAGAAAAGAUUGCAUUUCUCAUA